UACGAAGGGGGCUAGCGUUGUUCGGAAUCACUGGGCGUAAAGCGCUCGUAGGCGGAUCUUUAAGUCAGAGGUGAAAUCCCAAGGCUCAACCUUGGAACUGCCUUUGAUACUGGGGAUCUCGAGUCCGGAAGAGGUGAGUGGAACUGCGAGUGUAGAGGUGAAAUUCGUAGAUAUUCGCAAGAACACCAGUGGCGAAGGCGGCUCACUGGUCCGGUACUGACGCUGAGGUGCGAAAGCGUGGGGAGCAAACAGG
rnacentral:rRNA from 1 species